GAGAUAUUAGUAAAAUAAAUUACAUCACCUUGUCAAGAUGAAAUUACGAGUUAAACCCUCGUAUAUCUCU
rnacentral:tRNA from 1 species